rfam:Candidatus Brocadia fulgida BROFTL_contig000163, whole genome shotgun sequence.
AAAGUCCCUGUCGGGUAAGGGAUAGCCACCCACCCGUAUCGAGUCUUGCGUCCAAUGCGGAGCGUGUAAACGCGAACAAGAAGAUUGGAUGAGGCGUAGACAGAGAAUUCUGCAGGCCGCAGGGGUGGUCACGCACCCUGAAGAGCUGGUACAGCUUCGAGAUGACCUAACAAGCGGAUGCCGAGGGGUUUAAGGUUUACCGAAGGCAAUACAAGAACAUCCGAAAUGGCGAGGAUGCGAAGAUCCGCCGGAG